UACGAAGGGGGGCUAGCGUUGUUCGGAAUUACUGGGCGUAAAGCGCGCGCAGGCGGUCUUUCAAGUCAGUGGUGAAAGCCUGGAGCUCAACUCCAGAACUGCCAUUGAAACUGCAAGACUUGAGUACGAGAGAGGUGAGUGGAAUUCCCAGUGUAGAGGUGAAAUUCGUAGAUAUUCGCAAGAACACCAGUGGCGAAGGCGGCUCACUGGACU
rnacentral:rRNA from 1 species